rnacentral:rRNA from 1 species
UACAGGGGGUGCAAACGUUGCUCGGAAUCAUUGGGCGUAAAGCGCACGUAGGCGGUUCGUUAUGUCGGAUGUGAAAGCCCUUGGCUUAGCCGAGGAAGUGCAUCCGAAACUGGCGAGCUAGAGUACGAAAGAGGAUCGCGGAAUUCCCGGUGUAGAGGUGAAAUUCGUAGAUAUCGGGAGGAACACCGGUGGCGAAGGCGGCGAUCUGGGUCGAUACUGACGCUGAGGUGCGAAAGCGUGGGGAGCAAACAGG